UUUCCGUAGGUGAACCUGCGGAUGGAUCAGUAAUGGCUUUUGAAACUUCAGGCUCCUGCUGUCUCCCCCCUGAGGCCAUGUGCACGCUUGUUCUCCAUUAUGUCUCCCACUGUCCAGAAAUUGUCGGCCUUCCAAUAGGCCUAUGUUGUUUCUCACAAUCUCUGACUGUAAUAGAAUGGUUUAGAAUCUUGGGAAACACAAAACAACUUUCAGCAACGGAUCUCUUGGCUCUC
rnacentral:misc_RNA from 1 species